AAGAUUUUAAGUUAAUAUAAACUAAUAGUCUUCAAAACUAUUUAUAUUGAGUAAUCAUUAAAUCUUA
rnacentral:tRNA from 1 species